rnacentral:rRNA from 1 species
CCCAGACUCCUACGGGAGGCAGCAGUGGGGAAUAUUGCACAAUGGGGGAAACCCUGAUGCAGCGACGCCGCGUGAGUGAAGAAGUAUUUCGGUAUGUAAAGCUCUAUCAGCAGGGAAGAAAAUGACGGUACCUGACUAAGAAGCCCCGGCUAACUACGUGCCAGCAGCCGCGGUAAUACGUAGGGGGCAAGCGUUAUCCGGAUUUACUGGGUGUAAAGGGAGCGUAGGUGGCAUGGUAAGCCAGAAGUGAAAACCCGGGGCUCAACCCCGCGGAUUGCUUUUGGAACUAUCAGGCUGGAGUGCUGGAGGGGUAAGCGGAAUUCCUAGUGUAGCGGUGAAAUGCGUAGAUAUUAGGAGGAACACCGGUGGCGAAGGCGGCUUACUGGACAGUAACUGACGUUGAGGCUCGAAAGCGUGGGGAGCAAACAGGAUUAGAUACCCUGGUAA